GGUAGAACUUGUAUCUGGUGAACGGAUCCCUGCUACAUCUUGGAAUCAUUAUAGAUAUGGUGUCAACAUAACGUUCGGCAAUACCCAAAAGGCAGUUUGGGCUGAGUUUUGGAAAUACUACAAGUUGCCUGAGGAGGGAGCUUAUGAUGAUCAUGCCAGACGUGUGUUCCACCAUAACGCACACAUUGUGGUUAGAGAUAUGAUUUCUUAUGCCAGAAUUCAGGUUGUCGCUUCUUAUCUGGAACGGACUCAAGGGAUGCGAUUUGAGAAGAAACGGGAUGCUGGGAAAUAUUACUUGACUGAGGAGCAAUACCGCGAGGAAAUGAUUCCGUGGAUGGCCACACGUGAGGAGGCUUAUCAUGCCUUAUGUCACUAUUGGACCACGGAUGAGUUCAAAAGCAUUUCCCAGAGAAAUAGAGGAAAUCGUGGAACUGAGUCCUAUCACACCUACGGAGGUGAUGGGC